CCCUUAGAUGUUCUGGGCAGCACGCGCGCUACAAUGGUCUUCGCAAACGGAUGCAUUCUCGAAGGAGAAUGCCAAUCUUGGAAUCUAUGCCUUGGUCGGGACAGUUGCUUGCAAUUUUUCGACUCGAACCAGGAAUUCCUUGUAAUCGUGAUUCAUCACAUCACGAUGAAUACGUCCCUGCCCUUUGUACACACCGCCCGUCGCUCCCACCGAUCGAAGAGUUAGGUGAAUUGUUUUGAUCGAUAAGAUUUGACUAUGGUCAACUCUCGUUGUGAAAUUCUGUGAAUCUGACUGUUUAGAGGAAGGAAAAGUCGUAACA
rnacentral:rRNA from 1 species